rnacentral:rRNA from 1 species
UACAGAGGGGGCGAGCGUUGUUCGGAAUUACUGGGCGUAAAGGGCGCGUAGGCGGCCUUCUAAGUCGAACGUGAAAUCCCCGGGCUCAACCCGGGAACUGCGUCCGAGACUGGCAGGCUUGAAUCCGGGAGAGGGAUGUGGAAUUCCAGGUGUAGCGGUGAAAUGCGUAGAUAUUAGGAAGAACACCAGUGGCGAAGGCGGCUCACUGGCCCGGUACUGACGCUCAUGUGCGAAAGCGUGGGGAGCAAACAGG